AUGGGCGAUGAUGCCCGAGGCGGCGGUGGCGGGGCGGCCGCCGAGCCGCUGCUGAAGAGGGCGCGGUGCCGACCCAACUGCCCCGGGUGCAGGGUGGACAGGAGGAAGGAGGAGAGGGAGGGGCUCCCCGUCACGGAGCUCUGCUGCAUGUGGCUCGUCACCAUCUGCUCCUCGUUGCCUAUACAGUACGUGUUUCCCUUCUUGUAUUUUAUGAUAAGAGACCUGAACAUUGCUAAAGAAGAAGAAGAUAUUGGAUUUUAUGCUGGUUUUGUUGGUGCUUCAUAUAUGCUUGGGAGAGCACUCACCUCUGUAAUAUGGGGAGUUGUGGCUGAUAAGUAUGGGAGGAAACCAGUUCUUCUAAUUACCCUUUUUUCAGUAAUUAUCUUCAAUACACUCUUUGGACUCAGCUCUAGUUACUGGAUGGCAUUAACCACAAGAGGUCUGCUUGGGCUGUUGUCUGGUAUGCUUGGACCAAUGAAGGCUUAUGCUUCAGAAGUAUGUCGGAAAGAACACAGUCACUUGGCAUUAUCACUCAUGUCCUCCUCACGUGGCAUAGGUCUUAUUGUUGGACCAGCCAUUGGUGGUUAUCUUGCACAGCCUGCAGAUAAAUAUCCAGGCAUAUUCUCUGUCAACUCCAUAUUUGGAAGGUUUCCGUACUUUCUCCCUUGUCUUUGUAUAUCACUCCUUGCCAUUGCCGCUGUAAUUGCUUGCUUCUGGCUUCCGGAAACUUUGCAUAAACACACUGAAGACACAAUGUUAAAUAGUUCGACUGAAGCUGUUGAAGAACCUUGUUCUGAUUUAAAUGCUGAACAAAGUGGUAGUGGCUGUCUCAGUUUAUUCACAAACUGGCCACUGAUGUCCACUAUCACUGUAUACUGCAUUUUCUCUCUCCAGGACAUGGCUUAUGCAGAGGUAUUUUCGCUUUGGGCUGUCAGUGACAGAAAAUACGGUGGACUAAGCUUUUCUUCUCAAGAUGUGGGUAGGGUCCUUUCAAUCUCAGGUCUCUUACUCCUAAUAUAUCAAAUUUUGAUCUAUCCAUUGGUUGCAAACUCUGUAGACCCCAUCACAUUAGUCCGUGCAAUUGCGCUAUUGACAAUACCACUUCUUUCGAGCUAUCCAUUCAUGCCUGCAUUAUCAGGGUCCAUUCUUCAGUUGGCACUAAAUUGUGCGUCUUUUCUGAAGAACUCUUUCUCAGUAACUACCAUGACUGUGUUCAACAUUUUAAUGAAUGAUGCUGUGAGUCAGGACCUAAGAGCCUCAGCCAAUGGCCUUUCUGUGACACUAAUGUCCAUCUUUAAAACUAUCGCUCCAGCUGUUGCAGGAGUUAUAUUCUCAUGGGCUCAGAGGCGUCAAAUAGCUCCAUUUCUUCCAGGCGACCACUUGGUGUUCUUUAUGCUGAAUGUGUUCACGGUUAUCGGUCUUAUGCUCACCUUCAGACCGUUCUACGCUAGAAAUGGCACGUCGAAUCAUUAA
rnacentral:rRNA from 1 species